UGCUUUACACAUGCAAGUCGAACGGCAGCACGGGGGCAACCCUGGUGGCGAGUGGCGAACGGGUGAGUAAUGUAUCGGAACGUACCCCGUCGUGGGGGAUAACUCUCCGAAAGGAGAGCUAAUACCGCAUACGACCUGAGGGUGAAAGCGGGGGACCUGCAAGGGCCUCGCGCGAUGGGAGCGGCCGAUAUCGGAUUAGCUAGUUGGUGAGGUAAAGGCUCACCAAGGCGACGAUCCGUAGCGGGUCUGAGAGGACGACCCGCCACACUGGAACUGAGACACGGUCCAGACUCCUACGGGAGGCAGCAGUGGGGAAUUUUGGACAAUGGGGGCAACCCUGAUCCAGCCAUUCCGCGUGAGUGAAGAAGGCCUUCGGGUUGUAAAGCUC
rnacentral:rRNA from 1 species